rnacentral:lncRNA from 1 species
UUUUAAGAAUGCAUGGUUAAUUUUAUUUCUGCCCAAGUUAGUCUUGGGUUUUUGCCUGUGGAAGACACUGGCUAUCCUUAAAAGUUGAUAGAACAGAUUCAGCUAUUGGUUAGUAUGGAUGACCUUUGAAAUUCAGAACAUUCCUCUUUUUAAAGUAGUGUGGAUUUUUAUAACUGCAUAUCUUGGAAUUUUGAAGGAUGUGAUGGAUGAUAGUAAAUGGACAUAGGAUUGAUCACAAAAGCCUGGCUAUCCUUAAAAGUUGAUAGAACAGAUUCAGCUAUUGGUUAGUAUGGAUGACCUUUGAAAUUCAGAACAUUCCUCUUUUUAAAGUAGUGUGGAUUUUUAUAACUGCAUAUCUUGGAAUUUUGAAGGAUGUGAUGGAUGAUAGUAAAUGGACAUAGGAUUGAUCACAAAAGCUUGUGUGUUCUGCUUGCAAAAAGACGCGUAGAUGAUAGUGGAGGCCUAGAUUUUGCAAUCCUUCAUAAUGGUUAAAGCUUUAGAUUGUCUUGGCGGCAGGAAUUAACAGGCAUAGAUUUCCUUGGAAUUAUAUUUUCAUGGAUGUGGAGUAGGGUGAGCAUCUUGUUGGUAUGUAGAGAUGCAAAUAAGCUGAGCCGAGCUUUUUAAUGUUCAGGCUCGACAUAGGCUCGAUUUGCAGAUGCUCCUUUUUGUAUCUAUAAUUGAAUAAAAAAAUUAUAAAAAAAAAUUAGAGAAAAAUCGAGAUUGAGCUAGAGCUUGAUAAUGUUUUAUAUUUUAGAGUUUGAGUUUGGCUCGUAAUUAGCUAGAUACUACAUAUAAAUGAGCUGGACUCGGGAUCGACUUA